rnacentral:rRNA from 1 species
GAUGAACGCUGGCGGCGUGCUUAACACAUGCAAGUCGAACGGUGAAGGCGGAGCUUGCUCUGCUGGAUCAGUGGCGAACGGGUGAGUAACACGUGAGCAAUCUGCCCCUGACUCUGGGAUAAGCGCUGGAAACGGCGUCUAAUACUGGAUACGAGCUGCGGAGGCAUCUUCAGCAGCUGGAAAGAAUUUCGGUCAGGGAUGAGCUCGCGGCCUAUCAGCUUGUUGGUGAGGUAAUGGCUCACCAAGGCGUCGACGGGUAGCCGGCCUGAGAGGGUGACCGGCCACACUGGGGCUGAGACACGGCCCAGACUCCUACGGGGGGCAGGCGUUGGGAAUAUUGCACAAUGGGCGAAAGCCUGAUGCAGCAAAGCCGCGUGAGGGACGACGGCCUUCGGGUUGUAAACCUCUUUUAGCAGGGAAGAAGCGAAAGUGACGGUACCUGGAGAAAAAGCGCCGGCUAACUAAGUGC